rnacentral:rRNA from 1 species
UGGGGAAUAUUGGACAAUGGGCGAAAGCCUGAUCCAGCCAUGCCGCGUGUGUGAAGAAGGUCUUCGGAUUGUAAAGCACUUUAAGUUGGGAGGAAGGGCAGUAAGCGAAUACCUUGCUGUUUUGACGUUACCGACAGAAUAAGCACCGGCUAACUCUGUGCCAGCAGCCGCGGUAAUACAGAGGGUGCAAGCGUUAAUCGGAAUUACUGGGCGUAAAGCGCGCGUAGGUGGUUCGUUAAGUUGAAUGUGAAAGCCCCGGGCUCAACCUGGGAACGGCAUCCAAAACUGGCGAGCUAGAGUAGGGCAGAGGGUGGUGGAAUUUCCUGUGUAGCGGUGAAAUGCGUAGAUAUAGGAAGGAACACCAGUGGCGAAGGCGACCACCUGGGCUCAUACUGAAACUGAGGUGCGAAAGCGUGGGGAGCAAACAGG